UACGGGGGGAGCAAGCGUUGUUCGGAUUUACUGGGCGUAAAGCGUGCGCAGGCGGUUUUGUAAGCCAGAUGUGAAAUCCCCGGGCUUAACCUGGGAAUGGCAUUUGGGACUGCAAGGCUCGAGUGCGGCAGAGGAGACUGGAAUUCCUGGUGUAGCAGUGAAAUGCGUAGAUAUCAGGAGGAACACCGAUGGCGAAGGCAGGUCUCUGGGCUGACACUGACGCUCAUGCACGAAAGCGUGGGGAGCAAACAGG
rnacentral:rRNA from 1 species